rnacentral:rRNA from 1 species
UACGUAGGGGGCUAGCGUUGUCCGGAAUCAUUGGGCGUAAAGAGCGCGUAGGCGGCCAGAUAAGUCCGGUGUGAAAGUCACAGGCUCAACCUGUGAAUGCCGCUGGAAACUGUCUGGCUAGAGUCCGGAAGGGGCGAGUGGAAUUCCUGGUGUAGCGGUGAAAUGCGCAGAUAUCAGGAGGAACACCAAUGGCGAAGGCAGCUCGCUGGGACGGUACUGACGCUGAGGCGCGAAAGCGUGGGUAGCAAACAGG